rnacentral:rRNA from 1 species
CGCAUGCGUAGUGACCUGCGGAAGGUCAUUAUUGAAUUCCAAUCGGGUGAGGUUGUGCUGGCUCUCUCGGGGGCAUGUGCACACCUUGCUCAUUAAUACCUUCCACCUCUGUGCACUUUUCAUAGGAUGACUGGUUGGCUGUUGAUCUUGUAUCAAUGGCUGCAGUUGUUCUGUGUUUUACAAACCUUGAAAUCAGUCUAGAAUGUUUUUUUGUGUGUAUACACAUCUUAAUACAACUUUCAGCAACGGAUCUCUUGGCUCUCGCAUCGAUGAAGAACGCAGCGAAAUGCGAUAAGUAAUGUGAAUUGCAGAAUUCAGUGAAUCAUCGAAUCUUUGAACGCACCUUGCGCUCCUUGGUAUUCCGAGGAGCAUGCCUGUUUGAGUGUCAUGGUAUUCUCAAUUCAUCAGGUCUUUUGUUAGACUCUGGUGGUAUUGGACUUGGAGGCAAUUGCUGGCAUCUCUCAGAAGCCAGCUCCUCUCAAAUGCAUUAGUGUGAAUGUUCACUUCAUGCUCAGUGUGAUAAUUAUCUGCACUGUGUUUGGGUGUUAUAGGUUCAUGCUUCAAACUGUCGCGAGACAAACACUUUGACUUCUGACCUCAAAUCAGGUAGGACUACCCGCUGAACUUAAGCAUAUCAAUAAGCGGAGGAAAAGAAACUAACAAGGAUUCCCCUAGUAACUGCGAGUGAAGCGGGAAAAGCUCAAAUUUAAAAUCUGGCGGUCUUUGACUGUCCGAGUGUAAUCGAG